CCUACGGGAGGCAGCAGUGAGGAAUAUUGGUCAAUGGGCGGAAGCCUGAACCAGCCAAGUAGCGUGCAGGAUGACGGCCCUACGGGUUGUAAACUGCUUUUAUACGGGAAUAACGCGCCUUACGUGUAGGGCUUUGCAUGUACCGUAUGUAUAAGGACCGGCUAAUUCCGUGCCAGCAGCCGCGGUAAUACGGAAGGUCCGGGCGUUAUCCGGAUUUAUUGGGGUUAAAGGGAGCGUAGGCCGCAUGUCAAGCGUGCUGUGAAAUGUCCGGGCUCAACCCGGGCCUUGCAUCGCAAACUGGCGAGCUUGAGUCCGCGGAAAGCAGGCGGAAUUCGUGGUGUAGCGGUGAAAUGCGUAGAUAUGACGAAGAACCCCGAUGGCGAAGGCAGCUUGCUGCAGCGGAACUGACGCUGAUACUCGAAAGCGCGGGUAGCGAACAGGAUUAGAUACCCGAGUAGUC
rnacentral:rRNA from 1 species